UAUAAUUAUUAUGAUGAUUCCAUAGUUCAACUGAUAGAACUAUGAUGAUAAUUUAUAUUUUUAUAGUCUUUCGCUCCUAUCUGAUAUUUAUA